AACGAACGCUGGCGGCAUGCCUAACACAUGCAAGUCGAACGAGAUCUUCGGGUCUAGUGGCGCACGGGUGCGUAACGCGUGGGAAUCUGCCCUUUGGUUCGGAAUAACAGUUGGAAACGGCUGCUAAAACCGGAUGAUGACGAAAGUCCAAAGAUUUAUCGCCAGAGGAUGAGCCCGCGUAGGAUUAGCUAGUCAGUGUGGUAAAGGCGCACCAAGGCGACGAUCCUUAGCUGGUCUGAGAGGAUGAUCAGCCACACUGGGACUGAGACACGGCCCAGACUCCUACGGGAGGCAGCAGUGGGGAAUAUUGGACAAUGGGCGAAAGCCUGAUCCAGCAAUGCCGCGUGAGUGAUGAAGGCCUUAGGGUUGUAAAGCUCUUUUACCCGGGAUGAUAAUGACAGUACCGGGAGAAUAAGCUCCGGCUAACUCCGUGCCAGCCGCCGCAGUAA
rnacentral:rRNA from 1 species